rnacentral:misc_RNA from 1 species
GAUGAAGAACGUAGCUAAAUGCGAUAAGUAAUGUGAAUUCCAGAAUUCAGUGAAUCAUCGAAUCUUUGAACGCAUCUUGCGCUCCUUGGUAUUCUGAGGAGCAUGCCUGUUUGAGUGUCAUUAAAUUCUCAACUACACUGACUUUGAAUUGGUGUGGCUUGGAUUUGGGGGGAAAAUUGUUGUGGGCUUUUUGUAUAGUCUGCUCCCCUGAAAUUGAUUAGCGGUACCUUUGUGGAACUGUCUACAGGUGUGAUAAUUAUCUACAUCUUAGACAUCUGCUGGAAUGCUGCUUUCUAAACCUUACUUGUAUUGACAAUCUUGACCUCAAAUCAGGUAGGACUACCCGCUGAACUUAAGCAUAUCAAUAAGCGGAGGA